GGAUGAACGCUGGCGGCGUGCCCAACACAUGCAAGUCGAACGAAGCGACUGGAGGAAGUUUUCGGAUGGAAUCCGGUUGACUGAGUGGCGGACGGGUGAGUAACGCGUGGAUAACCUGCCUCACACUGGGGGAUAACAGUUAGAAAUGGCUGCUAAUACCGCAUAAGCGCACAGUACCGCAUGGUACGGUGUGAAAAACCCAGGUGGUGUGAGAUGGAUCCGCGUCUGAUUAGCCAGUUGGCGGGGUAACGGCCCACCAAAGCGACGAUCAGUAGCCGACCUGAGAGGGUGACCGGCCACAUUGGGACUGAGACACGGCCCAAACUCCUACGGGAGGCAGCAGUGGGGAAUAUUGCACAAUGGGCGCAAGCCUGAUGCAGCGACGCCGCGUGAGUGAAGAAGUAUCUCGGUAUGUAAAGCUCUAUCAGCAGGGAAGAAAAUGACGGUACCUGACUAAGAAGCCCCGGCUAACUACGUGCCAGCAGCCGCGGUAAUACGUAGGGGGCAAGCGUUAUCCGGAUUUACUGGGUGUAAAGGGAGCGUAGACGGCGACGCAAGUCUGGAGUGAAAGCCCGGGGCCCAACCCCGGGACUGCUUUGGAAACUGUGCUGCUGGAGUGCAGGAGAGGUAAGUGGAAUUCCUAGUGUAGCGGUGAAAUGCGUAGAUAUUAGGAGGAACACCAGUGGCGAAGGCGGCUUACUGGACUGUAACUGACGUUGAGGCUCGAAAGCGUGGGGGGCAAACAGGAUUAGAUACCCUGGUAGUCCACACUGUAAACGAUGAAUGCUAGGUGUAGGGGGUAUCGACCCCUUCUGUGCCGGAGUUAACGCAAUAAGCAUUCCGCCUGGGGAGUACGGCCGCAAGGUUA
rnacentral:rRNA from 1 species